rnacentral:RNase_P_RNA from 1 species
GAAGCCCGCCAGACCGCCGCUGGUGCAAGCUGGGAAACCAGGCACUGGAGGAACGUCCGGACUGCACAGGGCAGCGUAGCAGCUAACGGCUGUCCACCGCGAGGUGAGGAUCAGAGCAACAGAGACGAGCCGAUUCAGUUCGGGUGAAACGGGCAAUCUCUACGCGCAGCAACACCAAGUAGGCACACGUUGACGGGGCCCCCGGAGUGUGCGGGUAGGUGGCAUCGAGCCGGGUGGGCGACCCCCGGCCCAGAGUAAUGGCGGUCACAUGCGGCCUUCGGGCCGCAUGCACAGAAUCCGGCUUAUCGGCGGGCUUCACAU